UAUUAACUAUUUGACAAGACAGAGAGUUCUUAAUCAUGCGCGUAACCCCGAGAGAGAUGAGAAUAAUCCUGUGACGCGCUUUACAGAGCGUGUUGUAUUCUCAUAAAUUACUGGCGAAGGAAACGCAGAUGGUAGUUAGAACCAUCGUUGCGUCUCUCAUUUUCUCCUAGUUUUCUUAUUUCAAUCCAAUAAGCAAUCAAGGGAAUCAAAAUGGCAUCACGAGACAAGAAACCAGCCAAACCAUCCAGCAGUCGUGCGGCCGGUAUACGCACUCUCUCCGAUCUGAAUCGACACUCGGGCCCCGAUUCCGACAGUGACGAUGAUGCUCCUCAAGAGUACUACACCGGUGGCGAGAAGAGUGGUAUGCUUGUUCAAGAUCCUUCAAAAGGUAAUGAUGUGGAUGCAAUUUUCAAUCAAGCUAGGCAAUUGGGAGCCGUUGAAGGUCCUCUUGAUCACUUUCGUCCAUCUCCAAGCUCAAGAAGCUUUACUGGAACUGGUAGAUUACUCUCUGGGGAAACUGUACCAACUAUACCUCAGCAACCUGAGGCCAUGAUUCACAAUAUUGUGUUCUGGACCAAUGGUUUCACUGUAAAUGAUGGCCCUUUGAGGAGGUUGGAUGAUCCAGAAAAUGCAUCUUUCUUAGAGAGUAUCAGAAAGUCUGAAUGCCCGAAGGAGCUUGAGCCUGCAGAUAGAAGGUCCUCAGUUCACGUCAACUUGAUUAGAAGGGAUGAACAGUGUCCAGAACCAGAGAAGCAGCGCCUUGUUCCAUUUCAGGGUGUCGGGAGAACUCUAGGUAGCAGCAGUACUCCAGCAGCAACUGAUCCAACAGUUGAUUCAGCUCCUCUUAACACUGUUCCAACCCCAUCCAUCGGCCUGGUUGUGGAUGAAACAUUGCCAUCAACUUCCAUUCAGCUUAGGUUGGCAGAUGGGACCCGCAUGAUUGCUCACUUCAAUUACCACCACACUGUGAAUGACAUUCGAGCUUUCAUUAAUGCAUCUAGACCUGGAAGUGCUCAGAAUUAUCAGCUGCAGCUGAUGGGAUUUCCUCCCAAGGUUCUUACAGAUUCAACUCAAACAAUAGAGCAAGCAGGGCUUGCCAAUUCAGUCAUUAUUCAGAAAUUCUAGCCAAGCUGGAUAAAAGGCAGUGCACUCUCAUUAGUCAUUAACUGCUUAUUGUACCAAGCGAACCAAUUCUAUGGACAUAUCUCCAUUUCCUAUAUAUUAAAAGAGGGUUUUGGUGGCUGGUUGCGUGGUUAUACGAAUUCAAUUUUGUGAUUUAAAAUGCAUCUUCUGCACCAAUUGUUGCCUAAAUUGUACGAACAUAUUUAGCAUCCUUGACAUUUUGCUGCUGGGAGUGGGGUUAGGCUAAACACCAAGCUAUUGCAUUAAGGAAAGACUAUUGCAGGUAGAAAUUUUAUUUGCCUGAAUGAUUGCGGGGGGGCUGUAAAUGUUUAUUUGGAAAAUAAUUGUAAAGUUCAUUCUAAUGGACCUUGGUUAGCAAUAUGCUUAGCGCAUGCCCAGUUCAUCAGGAUAACUCUCUAGGUUCUGUCCGAAACUAGUUUUUUUGAAGCCACACUCACUGUUUGCGUGUAAAAAAAGAAGAAGGCAGAAAUAUAUGUCAUCUCCAUUGGAUUUC
rnacentral:misc_RNA from 1 species